GACGAACGCUGGCGGCGUGCUUAACACAUGCAAGUCGAACGGAAAGGCCCUGCUUUUGUGGGGUGCUCGAGUGGCGAACGGGUGAGUAACACGUGAGUAACCUGCCCUUGACUUUGGGAUAACUUCAGGAAACUGGGGCUAAUACCGGAUAGGAGCUCCUGCUGCAUGGUGGGGGUUGGAAAGUUUCGGCGGUUGGGGAUGGACUCGCGGCUUAUCAGCUUGUUGGUGGGGUAGUGGCUUACCAAGGCUUUGACGGGUAGCCGGCCUGAGAGGGUGACCGGCCACAUUGGGACUGAGAUACGGCCCAGACUCCUACGGGAGGCAGCAGUGGGGAAUAUUGCACAAUGGGCGGAAGCUUGAUGCAGCAACGCCGCGUGCGGGAUGACGGCCUUCGGGUUGUAAACCGCUUUCGCCUGUGACGAAGCGUGAGUGACGGUAAUGGGUAAAGAAGCACCGGCUAACUACGUGCCAGCAGCCGCGGUGAUACGUAGGGUGCGAGCGUUGUCCGGAUUUAUUGGGCGUAAAGGGCUCGUAGGUGGUUGAUCGCGUCGGAAGUGUAAUCUUGGGGCUUAACCCUGAGCGUGCUUUCGAUACGGGUUGACUUGAGGAAGGUAGGGGAGAAUGGAAUUCCUGGUGGAGCGGUGGAAUGCGCAGAUAUCAGGAGGAACACCAGUGGCGAAGGCGGUUCUCUGGGCCUUUCCUGACGCUGAGGAGCGAAAGCGUGGGGAGCGAACAGGCUUAGAUACCCUGGUAGUCCACGCUGUAAACGGUGGGUACUAGGUGUGGGGUCCAUUCCACGGGUUCCGUGCCGUAGCUAACGCUUUAAGUACCCCGCCUGGGGAGUACGGCCGCAAGGCUAAAACUCAAAGGAAUUGACGGGGCCCCGCACAAGCGGCGGAGCAUGCGGAUUAAUUCGAUGCAACGCGUAGAACCUUACCUGGGUUUGACAUGGAUCGGGAGUGCUCAGAGAUGGGUGUGCCUCUUUUGGGGUCGGUUCACAGGUGGUGCAUGGCUGUCGUCAGCUCGUGUCGUGAGAUGUUGGGUUAAGUCCCGCAACGAGCGCAACCCUUGUUCACUGUUGCCAGCACGUUAUGGUGGGGACUCAGUGGAGACCGCCGGGGUCAACUCGGAGGAAGGUGGGGAUGACGUCAAGUCAUCAUGCCCCUUAUGUCCAGGGCUUCACGCAUGCUACAAUGGCUGGUACAGAGAGUGGCGAGCCUGUGAGGGUGAGCGAAUCUCGGAAAGCCGGUCUCAGUUCGGAUUGGGGUCCGCAACUCGACCUCAUGAAGUCGGAGUCGCUAGUAAUCGCAGAUCAGCAACGCUGCGGUGAAUACGUUCCCGGG
rnacentral:rRNA from 1 species